rnacentral:rRNA from 1 species
AGUGAACGCUGGCGGUAGGCCUAACACAUGCAAGUCGAACGGCAGCACAGUAAGAGCUUGCUCUUACGGGUGGCGAGUGGCGGACGGGUGAGGAAUACAUCGGAAUCUACUUUUUCGUGGGGGAUAACGUAGGGAAACUUACGCUAAUACCGCAUACGACCUACGGGUGAAAGCAGGGGAUCUUCGGACCUUGCGCGAUUGAAUGAGCCGAUGUCGGAUUAGCUAGUUGGCGGGGUAAAGGCCCACCAAGGCGACGAUCCGUAGCUGGUCUGAGAGGAUGAUCGGCCACACGGGAACGGAGACACGGUCCAGACGCCUACGGGAGGCAGCAGUGGGGAAUAUUGGACAAUGGGCGCAAGCCUGAUCCAGCCAUACCGCGUGGGUGAAGAAGGCCUUCGGGUUGUAAAGCCCUUUUGUUGGGAAAGAAAAGCAGCAGGUUAAUACCCCGCUGUUCUGACGGUACCCAAAGAAUAAGCACCGGCUAACUUCGUG